AUGCCGCGUGUGUGAAGAAGGCCUUAUGGUUGUAAAGCACUUUAAGCGAGGAGGAGGCUACUUUAGUUAAUACCUAGAGAUAGUGGACGUUACUCGCAGAAUAAGCACCGGCUAACUCUGUGCCAGCAGCCGCGGUAAUACAGAGGGUGCAAGCGUUAAUCGGAUUUACUGGGCGUAAAGCGCGCGUAGGCGGCUAAUUAAGUCAAAUGUGAAAUCCCCGAGCUUAACUUGGGAAUUGCAUUCGAUACUGGUUAGCUAGAGUGUGGGAGAGGAUGGUAGAAUUCCAGGUGUAGCGGUGAAAUGCGUAGAGAUCUGGAGGAAUACCGAUGGCGAAGGCAGCCAUCUGGCCUAACACUGACGCUGAGGUGCGAAAGCAUGGGGAGCAAACAGGAUUAGAUACCCUGGUAGUCCAUGCCGUAAACGAUGUCUACUAGCCGUUGGGGCCUUUGAGGCUUUAGUGGCGCAGCUAACGCGAUAAGUAGACCGCCUGGGGAGUACGGUCGCAAGACUAAAACUCAAAUGAAUUGACGGGGGCCCGCACAAGCGGUGGAGCAUGUGGUUUAAUUCGAUGCAACGCGAAGAACCUUACCUGGCCUUGACAUAGUAAGAACUUUCCAGAGAUGGAUUGGUGCCUUCGGGAACUUACAUACAGGUGCUGCAUGCUUCUCCCGGUCAGCAA
rnacentral:rRNA from 1 species